GGCCUUCGGGUUGUAAACCUCUUUCAGUAGGGAAGAAGCGAAAGUGACGGUACCUGCAGAAGAAGCACCGGCUAACUACGUGCCAGCAGCCGCGGUAAUACGUAGGGUGCGAGCGUUAUCCGGAAUUAUUGGGCGUAAAGAGCUCGUAGGCGGUUUGUCGCGUCUGUCGUGAAAGUCCGGGGCUUAACCCCGGAUCUGCGGUGGGUACGGGCAGACUAGAGUGCAGUAGGGGAGACUGGAAUUCCUGGUGUAGCGGUGGAAUGCGCAGAUAUCAGGAGGAACACCGAUGGCGAAGGCAGGUCUCUGGGCUGUAACUGACGCUGAGGAGCGAAAGCAUGGGGAGCGAACAGGAUUAGAUACCCUGGUAGUCCAUGCCGUAAACGUUGGGCACUAGGUGUGGGGACCAUUCCACGGUUUCCGCGCCGCAGCUAACGCAUUAAGUGCCCCGCCUGGGGAGUACGGCCGCAAGGCUAAAACUCAAAG
rnacentral:rRNA from 1 species